UACGUAGGGUGCGAGCGUUUGUCCGGAAUACUGGGCGUAAAGAGCUCGUAGGUGGUUUGUCGCGUUGUUCGUGAAAUCUCACGGCUUAACUGUGAGCGUGGCGGGCGAGUACGGGCAGACGUGGAGUACUGCAGGGGAGACUGGAAUUCCUGGUGUAGCGGUGGAAAUGCGCAGGAUAUCAGGAGGACACCGGUGGCGAAGGCGGGCUCU
rnacentral:rRNA from 1 species